GAUGAACGCUGGCGGCGUGCCUAAUACAUGCAAGUCGAGCGAACAGACGAGGAGCUUGCUCCUCUGAUGUUAGCGGCGGACGGGUGAGUAACACGUGGAUAACCUACCUAUAAGACUGGGAUAACUUCGGGAAACCGGAGCUAAUACCGGAUAACAUGUUGAACCGCAUGGUUCAACAGUGAAAGACGGUCUUGCUGUCACUUAUAGAUGGAUCCGCGCCGCAUUAGCUAGUUGGUAAGGUAACGGCUUACCAAGGCAACGAUGCGUAGCCGACCUGAGAGGGGGAUCGGCCACACUGGAGCUGAGACACGGUCCAGACUCCUACGGGAGGCAGCAGUAGGGAAUCUUCCGCAAUGGGCGAAAGCCUGACGGAGCAACGCCGCGUGAGUGAAGAAGGUCUUCGGAUCGUAAAGCUCUGUUAUUAGGGAAGAACAAAUGUGUAAGUAACUAUGCACGUCUUGACGGUACCUAAUCAGAAAGCCACGGCUAACUACGUG
rnacentral:rRNA from 1 species